CACAGUCAGAACAGAGCACCACCACCUGCAACUCAUCUACAUAAUCAAGUCCCUUCAAAUACUCAGCUCUGCCACAUCCACCCUGCCAGAUUGUAGUUUCUGCUACUAGGCCAGCCCCCAUAAUGGACGGCUUCUUCACUUGGGUCUGUAAGAGAACCAUUCCCCUGGACUUGCAUCUCUCAGUCUUGCCCUGAAUCUCCUGAUAUCACUGCAGUGCCUCCUGAGUACCAUGACCUCGCUCAGCUCUUUUAGCAAGCACCGCACCCUGUCCCUGCCUCCCCACCGGCCAAAUGAUUUUGUCAUAACCCUACAGCCCGGCGAUCCUUGCCCAGCAGCAGGUUAUACAAUCUCUCAAACUCCUGGCAGUUAAGCUGGCUCUUGAGGAAUGGCACCACUAGUUGGAGGGCUCCACAAUUCCCUUCAUUGUGUGGAUUGAGCAUAAAAAAAUCUUGCCUACAUCCAAACUGCCAAACGACUCAACACCUGGCCAGGUGGGCCCUGUUGUUUGGCAGUUUCAAUUUCACACUCGCCUACCGUCCUGGCAUCUAGAAAUAUCAAACCAGAUGCCCUCUCCAACAAGUUCACCUCUGAUUCUGGACCCGACCCGGAUCCCAUUUUGCCCUCCACCUGCAUUGUAAAUGUUCCCGGUCCCCUCCUGCAGCAACGCCUGCACCCCCUCGGCUGGUGGUGGACCAUCCUGGCUGUUUAUCCAUUCCUGGGACAGACACGCCUACGCCUUUGCCACUCCCUGAGUGGCUCUCCCGUAUCCCUCUUUCUCUCUCUGUAUGUGUAUGUGUGUCUGUCUUUGGGAUUAUCUGCAGGUGUGCGUCGGAGCAGAGCACCACCACCUGCAACUCAUCCCAAUAAUCAAGACCUUCAAAUAUUCAGCUCUGCCACAUCCAGAUUGUAGUUUCUGCUACUUCUAACCUACCUCAGAUUCCGGCCCAGCACUUCCCUCACUUCCUGGUUCAGUCUGCUGCCCUGUCCCUCCUAGCCAUUCUCUGGAUUUCUAUUCACCCUAACCGAUACAUACUCUCCUGGAUCUGCUUCCUCAGUCUGCCCAGCCCUAGCCAAGAUAGUAUUCCAGUAGCCUGCCCAACUAGCCUGAAUUGACAAUUUAUUUUUACCUGCUUCCAGAUCUCCGAGUCUGUGUCUGCACUUGGGUUCACCAGCCUAGCGCUCUAAAACGUGCAACACUGCAUUUUUACUUUACAUUACCUCUCAUUUUGUGUGUGCGUGACAGACAAACUUUUGACUCAAAUGUUUUUAAUCGUGUUGUGUUAAUUGUUUUACUCUAAGUACCCAGGAGACUCUGGAAAGUUGGAUCUAUACUGAGUGGAUUGUCCUGGUGAAAUAAAGUAAGGAUGUUAAGUCAUUCAA